AAGCAAUAAGAGGUACGGAUUGAGGAUCGAUUAGGGUUUGGAAGUGACUGAUUUGGGAAUUGGUAGGAUCGGAUCGGAUCUUAUUAAAGGCGUGUGGGAAUUGAAUCACGGGAUGUUUUUAGGUUAAAUGCACGCACUUCAUUGCUCCGGGAAUGAUGAAAUAAUCGUCGAUCCUCCCUCUAUGAGAUAGUAUCGUAGUGAUUUUUUUCUCAAUUUGGGAGACACUUAGGCUAAAAUGUAAAGCCCAAUAUUAAUCAAAUAGGCCCACCUGAGCCUCUGUACCAUG